AAACAGAUUUUCGACGCCAAAGAAAGCAGCCCUCAAAGCUAUCAUCGGCAUUAAGGAAUGGAAAAGAGCACAUGAGCUUAGCUGUAACCCUUCUCCCACAUCGGCAACCACCACAAGAUACAUAUCUACCAUCUAAAACAGUCCUCCCUAACUUUGACGACGUCUGGAAAGCAGAUUCAAAAAAGGUUGGCCUAGUAUGGAUCUUCUCCAAUCAAUCAUAAGCUGAGAUCAAUAUAGGCUCCGCUCUUCAACAUCACGUUUCCUCAACUUGCAUUGCUGAAACUCUUGUUAUCAGGGAAGCUUUCCUCCAC
rnacentral:lncRNA from 1 species